AUAACAAUACAGGGCAUUUUAUGCUCUGUAAUUGGAAUGAUGGGAAUGUAAAACCCUUCCAGAGUAACAAUUGGAGGGCAAGUCUGGUGCCAGCAGCCGCGGUAAUUCCAGCUCCAAUAGUGUAUAUUAGAGUUGUUGCAGUUAAAAAGCUCGUAGUUGGAUUUCUGCUGUGGUCAUCCGGUACCGCCCGUAUGGGUGCGCACCUGGUUUGGCUCCGGCUUUCUUCCUGUAGCCGUCCGCGCUUAAUUGCGCGUACUGUGUUACGGAACUUUUACUUUGAGAAAAAUAGAGUGUUUCAAGCAGGCUUGUCGCCCUGAAUACUUCAGCAUGGAAUAAUAGGAUAGGACCUUGGUUCUAUUUUGUUGGUUUCUAGGACCAAGGUAAUGAUUAAUAGGGA
rnacentral:rRNA from 1 species